AGUGAACGCUGGCGGCAGGCCUAAUACAUGCAAGUCGAACGGCCACACAGUAAGAGUUCGCUCUUAAGGGUGGCGAGUGGCGGAUGGGUGAGGAAUACAUAAGAUUCUUCUUAUACGUGGGGGACAACGUAGGGACACAUACGAUAAUAGCGCAUAUGUCCAACGGCAGAAAGCAGGAGAUCUUCGCACCUUGCCUGACACAAUUAGACGAGGCCGGAUUAGCUAGUUGGCGGGGUAAAGGCCCACCAAGGCGACGAUCCGUAGCUGGUCUGAGAGGAUGAUCGGCCACACUGGAACUGAGACACGGUCCAGACUCCUACGGGAGGCAGCAGUGGGGAAUCUUCGGCAAUGGGCGCAAGCCUGAUCCAGCCAUACCGCGUGGGUGAAGAAGGCCUUCGGGUUGUAAAGCUCUUUUAUUAGGAAAGAAAAGCUGCAUGUUUAUACCCCGCUGUUCUGACGGUACCCAAAGAGUAAGCACCGGCUAACUUCGUG
rnacentral:rRNA from 1 species